UCUUCUGGGAAAUCUAAUCGCUUACUUAUUAGGCUUCCAGGGGAUACUGUUAGACUUGGGACCGGGAGAGGUAAGAGGUACUGCAGGGGUAGGAGUGAAAUCUUGUAAUCCCUGUGAGACCACCAGUGGCGAAGGCGUCUUACCAGAACGGGUCCGACGGUGAGGGACGAAAGCUGGGGGCACGAACCGGAUUAGAUACCCGGGUAGUCCCAGCUGUAAACGAUGCUCGUUAGGUGUCAGGAACGGUGCGACUGUUUCUGGUGCCGAAGGGAAGCCGUGAAACGAGCCACCUGGGAAGUACGGCCGCAAGGCUGAAACUUAAAGGAAUUGGCGGGGGAGCACUACAACGGGUGGAGCCUGCGGUUUAAUUGGACUCAACGCCGGAAAACUCACCGGGGGCGACAGCAAUAUGUAGGUCAGGUUAAAGGUCUUACCUGAAUCGCUGAGAGGAGGUGCAUGGCCGUCGUCAGUUCGUACUGUGAAGCAUCCUGUUAAGUCAGGCAACGAGCAAGACCCGUGCCCACUGUUACCAGCAUAUCCUUUAUGGAUGAUGGGGACUCUGUGGGGACCGCUGCUGCUAAAGCAGAGGAAGGUGCGGGCUACGGUAGGUCAGUAUGCCCCGAAUCUCCCGGGCUACACGCGGGCUACAAUGGUUGGGACAAUGGGUAUCUACUCCGAAAGGAGUUGGCAAUCUCUUAAACCCAAUCGUAGUUCGAAUUGAGGGCUGUAACUCGCCCUCAUGAAGCUGGAAUCCGUAGUAAUCGCGUUUCAACAUAGCGC
rnacentral:rRNA from 1 species